ACACCUAUGAUCACUGGUUAUGCUUCUCAUGGAUUCAGUUUACAAGCUAUAGGAGUUUUUUGAGCAGAUGCUGUUUCGAGUGCCUGUAGCCAUUACGGAUGCGGUCUGGUUGAGCAAGGGAUAAACUACUUCAAUUUCAUGAGGGAGAGGUGUGGUAUUGCCCAGGGAGUUGGAUCCCUACACUUGCAUGGUUGAUACGUUAGCAUGAGCCUGAUAGCCUGCAGAAGCUUGGAAGUUGGUUGAAGAGGUAAAACAGAAGGUAAAGAAGAAACAAAGUAUAACGAAGACGGGCAUGGAGAGUCGCAUGUGUAUUUCUGUUUUCAAGCGCCUUGCUUGGGGAUGUAGAUUGCGUGGAGAUAUGGAGAUUGGAAGCUAGAAAGAUGCUAGAGAAAAAGCAGCUGAUUUCUGAUACACAUGUUGCAUUGUCAAAUGUUUUAUGCAGCUGCUGAGAUGUGGGAUGAGGUUUACAGAGUCAGGGAAGCAUGGAGGAAGCAAUGUUCUUCCAAGGAGGCUGGAUAUAGCCCAAUUCAGAUAAAGAGGCUUUUAUGUUUUGAAGGGCUCAAAAUUCGCAUUGCUCAUGCAGAUGUCUGAAUCCAAUGUGAAUCUCUGUGAAGGUUAACCAUGAUCUUCCAGGCUAGCGGUUAUCUGGAACAACUCUUUCUACUCCACUGAUUGAUGUUUCGACUUUUAAGAGUAUUAACAUGCAGAUAGUCCCAUGUCUUCUGAUAAUAAUAAUGCUGCUGUCAUAAUAAUUUACUGUUGCUUCAAUUUUACCUUUUGUUCGGUGAA